ACGAACGCUGGCGGCGUGCUUCACACAUGCAAGUCGAACGGAAAGGCCCUGCUUUUGUGGGGUGCUCGAGUGGCGAACGGGUGAGUAACACGUGAGUAACCUGCCCUUGACUUUGGGAUAACUUCAGGAAACUGGGGCUAAUACCGGAUAGGAGCUCCUGCUGCAUGGUGGGGGUUGGAAAGUUUCGGCGGUUGGGGAUGGACUCGCGGCUUAUCAGCUUGUUGGUGGGGUAGUGGCUUACCAAGGCUUUGACGGGUAGCCGGCCUGAGAGGGUGACCGGCCACAUUGGGACUGAGAUACGGCCCAGACUCCUACGGGAGGCAGCAGUGGGGAAUAUUGCACAAUGGGCGGAAGCCUGAUGCAGCAACGCCGCGUGCGGGAUGACGGCCUUCGGGUUGUAAACCGCUUUCGCCUGUGACGAAGCGUGGGUGACGGUAAUGGGUAAAGAAGCACCGGCUAACUACGUG
rnacentral:rRNA from 1 species